rnacentral:rRNA from 5 species
CAACUUUCAACAACGGAUCUCUUGGCUCUCGCAUCGAUGAAGAACGCAGCGAAAUGCGAUAAGUAAUGUGAAUUGCAGAAUUCAGUGAAUCAUCGAAUCUUUGAACGCACCUUGCGCCCUUUGGCAUUCCGAAGGGCACACCUGUUUGAGUGUCGUG